rnacentral:tRNA from 1 species
GGAGGGCUGUCCGAGAGGCCGAAGGAGAUGGUCUUGAAAACCAUUGUGCGGCAACGCACCAAGGGUUCGAAUCCCUUGCCCUCCG